rnacentral:rRNA from 1 species
UACGAAGGGGGCUAGCGUUGUUCGGAAUCACUGGGCGUAAAGCGCACGCAGGCGGAUCGUUAAGUCAGGGGUGAAAUCCCGAGGCUCAACCUCGGAACUGCCUUUGAUACUGGCAAUCUUCGAGUCCGGGAGAGGUGAGUGGAACUCCGAGUGUAGAGGUGAAAUUCGUAGAUAUUCGGAAGAACACCAGUGGCGAAGGCGGCUCACUGGCCCGGUACUGACGCUCAGGUGCGAAAGCGUGGGGAGCAAACAGG